rnacentral:lncRNA from 1 species
UGCUUUGGACCUGAAAAAUAUUGAAAUAGUGAAGUUCUUUCAGUGGGCAGAAUUUUCACCAGUAUGUUUUGAUAUUCAGUUUGGCUGAAAGGAGAAAUGGUCAAUUCAGGGUCAGAGGAUAAUUUUUUGGCCAGUUUGUGAAGGACAUGGAAAGAGCAAGACUGGAGAACUAGUGACAAGGAAGACUCCAGAAGGGAUAUAGUGAUGGACCUCUCAGAAUAAAUCUUAAGAAUCAUAUGGAUGAAAUGAACUGCUUUGUGAUGAAACUCAGCCUCACUGCCUGCUCAGUAGAAUCAUGAAAUAAAUGGCAAUGGCAAUGGCAACAGGAUUGGAGCUAUGCAUGGGAUCACCAAGCCACCGCUGGGUGUUCAGAAGCAGUGACCAAUACCCCAUGCUCUGGGAGGGUCGGCCAGUCACAUGUAGGCAAGUAUGAAAGAAGUAAUGCAAUGGGCUAUUGCCCAUGGAAUUUAUUGGUCUAAUUGUGUACUCAAUCACUGAGAAGUAUCUUGUCUUAUUGAAGAUAUAUUGAAGACUUAGUUAUGGUGCCUUCUGGGAGAUAACCCUUUUUGAUACUGUCCUGUAGGAUGCAGUAUAUGCUCUGAACUAUUGUCCAAUAUUC